CCCUCCACCAUCUCCUCUUCUUCCUUUAAGUCCCCUCCUUCUAAUAGGGAGGAGGGGGCGGGAACCUGGGUUAUGCAGGAGUGGCUGCACGAGACCUUUCCCCUCCCCCUUCUUAGCUAGAGAGCAACUGUGGGUGGGAGGCACGUGAUCAACUCUCCUCCUACUUAUUAGUUUUGGGGGAGCCCGUCUUCUCACCUCCCUCCCCCCAUCUUUCCUCUCUGUCUGGCUCUCCCUCUGUCUCUGUCAGUGUCUCUUGUGUCUGUCUCUGUAUCUCUUUCCUUUCUGUGAUGUUAGCAAAUGUUAUACACCUGGGCUAGUUGACAGGCCUGACCUUUUCUCCCAUAUCCCUGGAGUCCCUCAUUUUCUCAUUCUCCCCCUGCCCGCGGCAUACCCGUCCUUCAUUGAUGUAGAUGAAGGGAUUCAGAGACCAUCUAGUCCAACCUUGAGAUUUUAUAGAUGUGGUAAGAGGCAGAGCCGGGAUUCAAACCCGUGUUGUCUGACCACAAAUCAGGGAGAGAGCUGAGAACUGAACCCAAGUGUUCGGACUCCCAGGCCAGAGAUCAGGGAGGAUGAGCCGUGGGAAUCUCUCUGGCCCUCCAGUACACCUGAGUUAAAGGACUUCAUUUUCAGGCAUUCUCCCGUACACUUGGCUAACUCCCGCUCUCCCUGGAUCACUUUACUUUUCUAUGCACCUAGAACGAGAAACAUCUUUGUUCCUUGUAGCAUCCACAGAUGGCACCUUGACAUACAUAGAGCAAUUCCUAAGUGGAAUCAUUAGGAAGGAACAAAAAAAAAUUUGGUGUACAUGUCCUCAUCUCAGCCCUGACGAUAGAAUAUUCCAAACAUUCUUUCCUCAACUCAUCUACUGAACUUCACUGCUUCGACUUU